UCCGCUCAUAAAUGUAUAGAACGCAAGACAGUUCAGCAUUUCCCUAAGUGGUUUAGAAUGAUUAGAAGUACAAUCAACAAUAUGGUUUGUGUAGUUAUGCUGAAAAUCGUUGAGGUUGUAUGGAAUAGGUUAACCGUAAGACCUUAAGUUGAAAAACUUUAAAAUUAAUCUCAGGUAAAUUACUUUGAGUUACGGUGUU
rnacentral:ncRNA from 1 species